GACGAACGCUGGCGGCGUGCUUAACACAUGCAAGUCGAGCGGCGCGGCGAACGGGUGAGUAACGCGUGAGUAACUGCCCCCCUCUCUGGGAUAACAGUUGGAAACGGCUGCUAAUACCGGAUAGUGGGGGAUGACUCGCGUCCUAUCAGCUUGUUGGUGGGGUAGUGGCCUACCAAGGCGACGACGGGUAGCCGGCCUGAGAGGGCGACCGGGCACAGUGGGCUGGGAGAGGUCCCAAAGUCCUACUGGGGGCAGCGGUGGGGGAUAGUGCACAAUGGGGGAAACCCUGAUGGAGCAACGCCGCGUGCGGGAUGACGGCCUUCGGGUUGUAAACCGCAUUCAGCCAUGACGCGGUAGUGGCAGAAGAGGCACCGGCUAACUACGUGCCAGCGGCCGCGGUAAUUC
rnacentral:rRNA from 1 species